GCGGGUGUAUAAUACGGAGCUGUGCGUUUGUGCGUGUGCGCCAUGUGCGGUGCAGGUGUCUGCUCACAGGCGUGCGCGUGUCGCGCCCGUGUGUACCUAUGUUAUCCGUGCAAGCCUGUACACACAGCGCGUGCCAUGCCUGCUCACCUGUAUGUGUGCACACAUCUACAUAUGCACCUGCGUGCCGUGCAUGCCUGUGCCUGUUGUGUACGUGUGCAUAUGUCUGCACAUGUGCAUUGCAUGUUUUAUGCGUGUGGGUGUGUUGCACGUGUAUACAGGCCGCAUGCACACCUAUACGUCUUUGUGUGUGUGUGUGUAGACGCGCACGCACAGACUUUCUACGGAUUCUCGCGUGUCUGGAGAACCCUGAUACACCUGUUAUAAUGGAGCCCCCGCUAUGUGUCAGCAAGGGAGCCACACACACCUGCCCCUUCGGUACCUCCCUGAGGUGUCACAGCUUCCCAGGAGCGCAGGUGAUGGUGUCCGUUCUUGCCAGGUGAGGAGCCUGAGGCGCAGUGACCUGCCCAAGGUCAGGCAGGUGGAAGGUAGAGCUCUGACAGCGCCGCAGUACCGCAGUGGCCGCCCGAUGCAGAGGGAAAGAGGCGAGGUCCGAAAGACCAGCUGCAGUAGCUUCCAUUUAUUGGAAGCUCUAGACCAAGGCCAGAGACCCCCGACCAGGGACCUUUCAGACGCUGACUCCGGCAGCCAACCAGAGUGGCCACAGACAGCUGCUUCCCAUCCCACCCCUCCCCUGCCUGCCCCCCACCAUCUGAGGGAUGUCAGGCCAAGCCCUGGAGGAGUGCGACCUUGGCCUGGGGCCAUCAGCACGUGCCUUUCCCCUGCUUAGAACAUUCUUCCUAAGACUCCUCCCUCUGCCAUUAGUCUGGUUCUCUGUUCACAUCCUCCAGAAUCUUCCUGGACCCCACAGACAAGGUGGGGCCGCAGAGUAUGCUUUACACCUGCUCCGUACCCACAGAAUUCCAAUCCUGGCCCACCCUUCCCUGCCGGCUGACUUUGGGUGAGUCUCUGAACCUCUGCUGAUUUCCUCAUUUGAGCAGCUGAUGCCAGCAGUCCCUGCCUCAGGAUGUUUGAGAGGGUUGAGUCAGUUACCACAGAAAGUGCUAGAACAGUGCCUGCCUGGUACAAAGAAGUUAUUUGCCAUCAGCAUUGCUGUUGGUACCGUUACAGUGGUUCGUAGGGUGACCUGCCAUCCAGUUUGCCCAGGACUGUCCCAGUCUUGGCACUUGGAAACAUGGGGAACCCCUCUGUUCUGGGCAGAGACGGCUCAUUAGUCUACUGAGCAUUUAACUUCCACCCCCACGCAGCUGGAAAGGAAAUCUCUCCCACCUGCCUUCCUUCCUGGGAACCUUCACCCGUCCACUCAUCUCUUUGCUCACCUCCUUUAUUCGACAAGCAUUUCUUAAGCAUCUGCUACAAGGCAGGUCCUCUUCCAGAUGCUGGGAACAUAGCAGCCCGGACAGUGGAUGGAAACCCAUGCCCUCACAGAGCUCGCGUCCCAGAAAGGGCAGCAAACGAUAAGCUGGUAAGACUUAAUUUAGCAUGUGGGGAUGGUGCCGAGGAGACCACCGAAGAGAGGGAGAGGGAGAAGGGGCAGCUUUAAAUGCAGGUCCUGAAACGAAAGGGGCCCACACGGGCUGCCCCAACACAGCUGCUCUCACCUCAAGCAAUCCUGCCCCUCAGGGGACACUGGGCCAUGUCUGGGGACAUCUCUGCUUGUCACAACUAGGGGUGAGGCUGACAUCGAGUGUGUGGGGCCAGGGAUGCUGCUCAAACCCCACAGCGCCCAGGACACCCCCCCAGAGAACAGCCUGGCCCCAAUGUCAGCAGUGCCGAUGGGGAGACUCUGCUCCAACAUUAUUCUGACCAAUUAGUUCCCCUAGAAUCCUGCCAGGGCGGGGACUCCAUCAGCCAAGGGACUGCACCCUUGGAGGUGAUGUAGCGAGAGGCAGCCAGGCCGGGCUGAGACAGGCCCUAGGGAUGAAACGACAGGCGUGUGCGCCCAUCCACAUGGCCCUCAGAGCUGGAGAGGUAGUGCCGGCCCCCCACACACUACAGACUCUGUCACCCGCCUGGGGCUGCUAGCUCUUUGCAGAGUCACCUCUUCUGGCCACAGAAGUUCCCCGGAGUCGACGCUGAGAUCAAGGACUCGAGUGCAGGUUGAUGAUUUGAGAGGCGCAGAGAAGAGCCUGGCAUGGGGGAAAGUGGGAGAGGGAGAGACAGGCGCGCUCUGCCACCAGCGGCUGCAGUGGGACCCCCACCCUUGCACAGGCACUGGGGAUAUGCAACCGCAGAGCUGAGCUUGAGCCCACCAGGGGUCAGAAGGGCUGGGUGCCCGGAGGGGUGAGUGUGCUUCGUGCCCUGAGCCAUGCACUUAGACACGGCUAAGACGGUAACUACACUUACAUUGGUAAGCAUUUCAUGAUGUAUAUAAUUUUCAAAUCACCUGUACACCUGAAACUAACACUAUAGCAUGUUAAUUAUGCUUCAAUAAAAAAUAACGUUUACCAUCUUAAUCAUUUAAAAAUUUUUAAGCAUAUUUUAUCGCAAUUAUAUUUAAAAAGUGGAAGCGAAUAUAAUCAUGAUAACCAGCUUUGCAGACAAGGAUAGGCCUCUGUCCCAGAAAUAUAGAACCCCCUGAGAACCCUCUCUCGGUAUUCCUGUUGUGUCAUUUGCUUUGUCCUAGGGUCAGUGAGAUCACUCUUGGCAAGAGUGGGUGCACGGAUGCAUCUGUGUGACAGGGAAGGAGGAUCACAAAUCUGUAUGCCAAGUUAAAGGUCAUCCAGCAGAUGAAACUUUAAAAAGUGUCCUCAUGGAGAAAGAUGGACACGAUAGGUUGUAUUUAAAAGAGCAGGGUGCAGAUUAGCAUGAUGAGCAAGUUCAUAUUUGUAUUUAAAUAUACAUAUAUACGUAUAUAGGUACGUAAACAUACUUGCAAAUACGUUGCUCUGUAGGUUAGCAGUUUGGACCGAGCCCAGAUAUUUCUCCUGCUGGUCUUGCCUGGGAUUUAUUCACAUACAUGUGGCCAUUCAAUGGGCCAGUGAUAGGCUGGUUGGUUUAAAGGGCUUCAGCUGGGCUGGCUCACCUCUACUUUCUGGUCUCAUCUUCCAGUAGACGAGCCUUAAGGUGUUCUAAUGUCAGUAAGAGGAUAAGGAUGGAGGCUUCCAGGGGCACCCGCGUGGCUCAGUCUGUUGGGCAUCUGAAUCUUGGUUUCAGCUCAGGUCAUGAUCUCAGGGUCGUGAGAUCGAGCCCCAAGUCAGGCUCUGUGCUCAGCGUGGAGUCUGCUUAAGACUCUUUCCCUCUGCCUCUGCACCUCGCCCCUAAAGUAAAUAAAUGGGUUAAAAAAAAUAAAAAAGAAUGGAAGCUUCCAGACCUCUUGAAGUUAUUUUGAGAGACUUUAAGGGCACAUACUUUCUCUUUUAAAGAGGGUUGGCUUAGGAUAGGGUCUAAGCCAGCCCACUUUCUUAUUUUUGUAAAGUUUUAUUGGAACACAACCAUAUGCAUUCAUUUGCACAUCAACUACCACUGCUUUUCCACCACCACUGCACAGUUGAGCCAACAUAUUGACUCCCUGGUCCUUUACAGAAAGUGUGUCAGCCCCUGAUAUGAGGCACAAGCACACUUGCCUCUUGGAAUCAGCUGCCUUGCCAUGCAUGCCUACCACGCAUGCUUGCAGGGGGCUGGGGCAGAGCACCCCCGUCCCCAAAUGUAACACCCCCUCAAUUUUCCUGCACCAUUUGGCUCCAGGGGCUGUGGUUUGCUGAUCCUCUGGUUUAGGUUAUGGGAGCUCAAAGCACAGCAAACAGUGGAUUACCUCCCCAUCCUUCACCCCAUGCAGGAUCCCAGCCCUCCACUCUGUAACUCAGUAAAGACCAACAAGCACAGGAUAACAUCUGAUUGCCAGAUGCUCUGGGAAAUCUCGGUGAAUUCACCAAAUUUUCCCCAGCAGGGAAAUGGUGAAGCUGCCAGCUGGUGGGGGCCCACUUUAAAGUCAGAAGUAGCAGCAGUAAUAGGAGAGAACGGAUUCCUUCUGCUCCAGGAUCCGGGUCCCUGUACCUCGGAAGCCCAGGGUUUUCUGAGUUCCCUGCAAUAAGACUUUUUCACAACUCAACCAUUUCCAAUUAUUGAGCACUGACUGUAUGCCUGGGCUAAGCCAAGCUCUCUAUACACAAUCUCACUUGAUCCUGCAAGGACCCCGGGGGGGGGGGAUAUUCUUUUUGUAUCAGUUUCCUAUGGAUGCUGUAGCCAAGAACCACAAACUAAAACAACACAAAUUGGGCAGCCCCGGUGGCACAGCGAUUUAGCGCCGCCUGCGGCCCGGGGUGUGAUCCUGGAGACCCAGGAUCGAGUCCCACAUCGGGCUUCCUGCAUGGAGCCUGCU